UACCCCAUUCAAACCAAAACCUGCUUCAAGCCUCACCGUACUCCCUCCGUCUCCUUCGCGCCGGAAUCGCCUCCGGCAGCGGCGGAGGGCAUAUAAUCACUUUCGUUACACCAUUAAGACCGUCUCUUCGUCCUCUAUCACAAAUCAACCUCAAUGCCUCUCAAUUUUCAGUCAAACAUCCAAACCAAACCAAAAUCAAAUGAACCCUAACUCACUAAAUCUUGAAUUAAACGCGAGCAAAGGGAGAUUCGGAGACCAAACCAUAAGGGAUUGGCUCCAUGGACUACAAAAUACAUCAUAGUAAGGAGAAUCGAUCGAGAAAAAUGGAAUUUCACCAACCUGUAAGACGGCGGAGUGGCCCGGUGAAAAUUGAAUUCAGAGCGAAUGAACAUGAAGAUGAAGGCGCCUUCAGGUAAUCUUCAGAAUCCCCUCCUUCUUCCCUUUGAUUCUUCUAUUUUGUGCGAUGCUUCUUCCUUCUUCUCCUCUUCGUCUGUGCUUCUGUGAUUGUUGUGUAGGAUGAAAGAUUCAUUGAAACUCUGCUUUGUGUGAAUCGUUGUGUGGAGACGAAUCCUAGAUCAAGCAUAAUUGCAGCUUCGAUGUGAAGCUCCAAUGGCUUCCUAAUGGAGCUUUGUGCAAGGUUAGAAGGGAGAGAAAAAUGGUGAAUAGAGGUUAUGAUAGUGAUGAGUGAGCUUUGAGAAUUGUUCCUUUUUGAUUGAAGAGUGAUGAAUGUUUAUAUAGUUUGGAAGCCGUAACCGAAUCGGGUAGCUCGGGUAGAAUGGUUAAGGCAGGUUAAAUUUCAGUUAGAUUUGAAGAGUAUGGUUGUUGGGAAUGAUUAACACUGUUAAUUUCUGUUAAAUAGUUUGUUAAGGAUCUAUUCAUUUUUUGACAGAGCAAUUGCACUUGGGGUUGGUUACUGGAUGCGAUUUAGUUUGUGAAUCAGAAGGAAAAUAGAUUGGUUAUGUUGAUUUGGACUAAAACAGGUUUUAGUUGCCUAGUUAUUCGCAGCUUUGGAUUUUUCUGCUAUGCAUAUGCUGCUGUUGGGCAUUGCCUUGCUUGAAUAUUUGAAAUCGAUUUCUGGAACUGCUGUUGGAUUAUUGAUGCAAGAUUAUAGAUGUUGGCUUUCUAUGAAGUUAGUUUUAGUUGAGUUAUCAGUUAAAUUUGGUUGAUAUAUUUUUACUUCUGUUAGCAGGUUUGGAUAUGUUAUGACUUUCAUGUGCUGUGGAGCUUUUGGAGGUGUCCUGUUAAUAGAGAAAAGGGCCUUGGUGCAUGGGUUCCAGCAUCAAAACAAAGACUGGAGUAUGGAGUUGUACUGCUCUAAAAUUGCAGCUACCGAUGAAAUGCCGACUUCACCUUCAUUAUUAACGGAAAGAUGCCGACGACUGAUAGGAAUUUAAAUCCUGGUAUCGACUAUUCAACUGCGGCAGCACCUUCUGAGCUAUCAUUGAAUACAAUUUUAGUAGGAAUAGAAGCAAAUCUAACACUGUCAUGGUUCUUGUUCUUGAUAGGGCCAUUUUCAACAACAAAACCCAUUACUAGCUUCAGCAAAGGUGGAUAAAUUUGUAUAGAAUUUUGAUGGGCCACUCAUCUUUUACUGAACAUUAUGGUCAUUAACAUAAUUGUAAUCACUCUUGAUAUUCAUACUAUUUAAAUUAUGAUAUAGGAUUGUUAACAUAGCAUAGGACUUAAAAAUUGUAAAAACACCUCUUAGUUUAUAAUAACAUGGUUUUGGUAA